UCAGUUUGAUUGGAGAGCGUUAAGUUGAAAGUCAAGACGCGACACCUAUAGCAGGGGGAGGAAAGUCCGAACUCCACAGGGCAGGGCGCCCCGAGAAUAUCGGGGGACUCCCGGUCGAAAGACCGGGGAUACGGAAAGUGCCACAGAAAAUAUACCGCCCCCCACCACUUUAAAGUGGUGGGGAGUAAGGGUGAAAAGGCGCGGUAAGAGCGCACCGGGCUGAGAGUAAUCGAAGCCGCAUGGUAAACCCCGUCCGGAGCAAGGCCAAAUAUAGAUCGAGGUGCUGCCCGCACCGUUUGAGAUCAGGGUAGGCUGCAUUGAGCCCGAGGGCAACCGGAGGCCCAGAUAGAUGAUCAUCAUCCCCUAAAGGUGCCGCGUCUUGACAUUCAACUUAACGCUUAUCUGAUUAA
rnacentral:RNase_P_RNA from 1 species